GGUGAGAUGGCCGAGCGGUCUAAGGCGCCAGACUAAGGACGCUGAGUGGCGUAGGUAAUCUGGUCCGUAAGGGCGUGGGUUCGAAUCCCACUCUCAUCA